GCCUGGGUGGCUCAGUUGGUUGGGCAGCUGACUUUGGCUCAGGUCAUGAUCUCAAAGUUUGUGAGUUUGAGCCCCACGUCAGGCU
rnacentral:tRNA from 1 species